GAACGGAUUGUCUUACAUCUUAAAAGUAACAAGGAUACGAAUGGCAGUGUGCUACGGUUAAACAUCAUUGGAGGCAGCGUGCGGGUCCCGGACUUGGCGCUGCGCCGUUUCUGCCUCGGUGCACCAGCCUGGCAGACGAGGACGCGGAGGGUCGGAAUAAGUGCGUUUCUUUCGACACCUUUCCCACUUUACCCCUCACUUCUCUCCGGUUUGCGUUCAUUUUUUAGGGGCAAUUUUGUAACUCAAUUAUUCCUUCCACUCGCACCGUCGUCACUAAGAACGACACGUUACGAGCAGUACUACGCGGCGCCGAACUUGUUAUUUCUCCGCUUCUGGGCUUGGUAGGACGCUCUGCGACCACGAAACCAGCGACGGGGAUGUUCCGUGUCGAUCGGCUCCUCACCAACACCGGCGAACUCGCACGCCCGGCGCCACCUCACGUGCUCCUCGCUCACCCAUCGCCCCUUCAGCCGGCGCCUGUCGCCGCUCCAUGUCACCUGCCCCAUCCCGUUUUCUCUCGUUCAAACCCUAACCCUAAUGGUGGCUAUCGAACAAGACGCGAACAAGCUGAGGGAGAAAGAGGAGAAGGGAAUUUAGAUUGGAUCGGGAGAUGGAAGGGACCGGGGCGGCGCCGUCGAGACCGCGGAAACCGGCUCUGCCGGACUGCUGGAGCGAGUUGAAGCGUCGGCGCUUGGGCUGACCGCUACGUCGACCUGAACCGCGGGAACCUCCAGCGAAAGCGCUGAAGAUCGUCGACGGCGUCAACUCCGGCCGUGGUGCUGGUUGCCGCUGGAACCGCACCGACGUUCAGUGCAAGAACCGGAUCGACAUCCUGAAUAACAAGUACUGGGUCGAAGAGGUUCGCAUUGCCGGCGGCGAUGCCGAGAGCCAGUGGCCCCCCUUCUCCCGCCUCGACGCCCUCAUCGGUUGCGCGACCUCGGCCGCGAAGAAGCCUCCGUCUCGCCGCUGCUCGCGCUGACGCUCUCUUUCCAUCGCAAGUGUUCCCCCGAGGGAAAAGCGGCCGGCCUUCUCCACUACGUUCCUGGGGGACAGCCGGUUCUUCAGGCUCGCGGCCGCAGUGGACGAGGAGGAGGUAUUGCGGUCGCUGUCAAGGUCGUCCUCGAGGUCAGGAAGGGGGUGGAAGUGAGGGAGGGGAGAGGGCAAUGGGAUCCGAGAACGGGCUGGGGCGAUCAUGAGAUUUGCUGAGAUCAAUGAAGGGUAGAGGAGGCAAAGCAGAGGCAGAUGAUGCAACUCGAAUGCCAGAAGAUGGAGUUUGUUAAGGUGCUGGAACAGAUGCAGAUUUCCAUGGAUUCACAGGUGCAGCUUGCGAAGAUCAAGCGUGUCAAGCGAUCGGACACUGAUACGCUGCAACAGUGUGGAGAGGUACAGAAUCAUCUUCAUUUCCUCAUGUGAACUGGUAUUUGUUUAUUUCUGAUUUAAUUCGAGAGAUAUCAUGUUUGAAUUCCCUCCUCCACCACAAUUUUAAGUCUUUGGUGGCUGUGGAUAUGAUCGCUAGAGUUGGGAAUGCAGUUUUGACCACUGGAAUAUUGUCAUUGGUUAUUCAUUUAUGCUGAUUUUUUUGGUAGCUCUUCAACUUUGCAUAUGUGUUGUUUUGAUGU